rnacentral:rRNA from 1 species
UACGUAGGGGGCUAGCGUUGUCCGGAAUCAUUGGGCGUAAAGAGCUCGUAGGCGGCCACUCAAGUCGAAUGUGAAACCUCGAGGCUUAACCUCGAGCCUGCAUUCGAUACUGGGCGGCUAGAGUCUGGUAGGGGGAUCUGGAAUUCCUGGUGUAGCGGUGAAAUGCGCAGAUAUCAGGAGGAACACCAAUGGCGAAGGCAGCUCGCUGGGACGGUACUGACGCUGAGGUGCGAAAGCGUGGGGAGCAAACAGG